CAUGUAGGCGGAUUAAUAAGUUUGAAGUGAAAUCCUUUAGCUUAACUAUAGAACUGCUUUGAAAACUGUUAAUCUAGAAUGUGGGAGAGGUAGAUGGAAUUUCUGGUGUAGGGGUAAAGUCCGUAGAGAUCAGAAGGAAUACCGAUUGCGAAGGCGAUCUACUGGAACAUUAUUGACGCUGAGAUGCGAAAGCGUGGGGAAGCAAACA
rnacentral:rRNA from 1 species